rnacentral:tRNA from 1 species
GCAGUGGUGGCUGAGUGGUAGAAUGUUUGCCUUCCAUGCUGGAGAUUCAGGUUCGAUUCCUGGCCGAUGCA